AACCUGUAGAAUGACUUGCAAAGAAAUCAUUUAGGUCAUUCUGACAAAGUGGUUACCAUAAUUCCCCAUGUGCAAGUUCUUGUACACAACAGAAUAGAUUGAAGAUUUCCGUAGAACUGUAAUAGUGGUUCUUGCCUCUAACAAUGUUUUCAGAAUGUGUCAGUGUCACAGGUCAUAUUGACCAAAUGAUGUGCUCUCCGUUUCUCAGUGUCCUUUCAAGAAAGCCAAAGGCCUGAUCCAACGUGUGUUGUUCCACCCAACGAGACCAUUUCUAUUCGUUGCUACACAGCGUUUUAUUAGAGUAUACAACCUCACAAAACAAGAACUGACAAAGAAACUCGUUUCAAACGCGAAGUGGAUUUCCAGCAUGGCUGUUCAUCCUAAAGGUGACAAUUUGAUUGUGGGAAGCUAUGAUCGUCGAUUAUGCUGGUUUGAUAUGGACUUAUCGACCAAGCCUUACAAGACACUAAGGUAAGUGAUCGAGCGGAUUUGACUUCGUGAAGCGAUU